rnacentral:snRNA from 1 species
AACGCUUCUCGGCCUUUUGGCUAACACCAAGUGUAGUAUCUAUUCUUAUCAGUUUCAUAUCUGAUAUGUCCUGUAUCCGAGGGCAAUAUAUUAAAUGGACUUUUGGAACUAGGAGUUGGAGUAGGAGCUUGCUCCGUCCACUCCACACAUCAACCUGGUAUUGCAGUGUCUCCUCAUGGUUUAAAACCA